GUAGGUAUCGUAUCCACGCCUCCUUGCUCACUGCGUCCCUGCAGCAGCCCGGGAAGUCGGCGGCACCUCAGCAGGCUCGGCUUCGCGGGCAUUGGAGUCGGCGGUGUAGCCCCGCGAGAUGCUGUCAUCCCAGGCGCCUUUCCAGUGCUUUGUGCAGUCCUCACCCAAGCACUCGUACACUCCCCGAUACAUUUCCUUUCCCCUGGGUCUGAGAAAUCAACCUAAAUAUAGGGCUCUUUGGGUCAUCAGUCCAUCUGUUUCUCUUUUGGGUGUUGUUCUUUACACUCGCUGCUACAGUGUCAAAGGGCGCCGGUGGAACUGUUUUCCCUGUUUGCUUUUAAAUGAGGCCGAUGUCUUUAUUUUCAUCUGAAGGGAAAUAAAUGUACAUAUACUUGAGGUUUGCGGGCUUCGAUUUGGACUAAAGGUUGGGAGAGAGAGAGAGUGUGUGUGUGGGGGGGGGAGUUGGCGGGAGUGGGAUGGUGGGUGGGGGUGGGUAGCCCUUUUCAACCAUGCCUAAGUUGUGAAGUGAAAGCUUAAGGCUUCGCGCCGCAACUCACUGCCCGAUAACUUCUGAAGUGAAAGCAGAACACAAAACCCUUCGAAUUUUCUUGAGCAACUUUUUCAACUAUUUUAAUUGCCAAGCAAGACAUACGAUGCCGUCUUAAAAUAUUCCCGCACGCACAGUCCACUCAGCAUCCAGAAACUGAGCCUCGUUUCCGAUCUGAUGAUACUUGUCAUUCAACUGGUGGGAGACCCAUUUAUUUUGUCCCCAGGGUCUCUAAGGAUGCCGCUGCCGCUUUCUGAUAGCUAGAUCUCAACUCUUACAAACUUUUACUGAGCCUCAGAUUCCCGCUUGCACUACUCCAGCUGUUGCUGCCGCAGCUGCCUUUCCCAGACAGAAGCGCUGCGUUGCAAUUCUUCAGUUACAAUCUGGUACAGGAGCCCAUGGACCUAGACCAGAGACCACGGACCCUGAAAAUACCCACUGAAUCUACACCGAGAUUGAAUGCACAACACAGUUUGCAACUUAAAAGAAAACCAAAAGCCAAACCGACUCUGGCAGCGCGGGGAGACUUCCCAGCCGUUUUCUUGGGCAGCUAGGACAGCACCUGGGCCGUGCCAGAAAUGCCAGUUGCUAUGGUCCUGAUGGAUGGAAAGGAAGUGCAGGUUGGGUCUGCGCAGCAUGUCUAAAGCCUGAAAUACCGAAGCCACCCUUACCUUACUUCCCCAAAGUGACAACGCGCGGGAAUUCAGUCACAGCAGAGAACGAGUUGCAUCCAGUAACUCCCUUAGCUACCGGCCCCCCAGAAGUCUCGUAAAGUCUCAAAAGGCGAUGCGAUUAGCAAGACCGCGGCAAGGGGGGCACUUGUUACUCCUACACUUGCUCUCUGUUUAAAAAAAGGCUCUGAAGUAGGAAAGGUAGAUGCCGACCCUUUCUCCCGUCCUUAAACUACUCACCUUGUCAGCCCAGUAACUGAGAUAAACACAACAAAACAACCCCCCCACAACAACAAACACAACACCCAGAUUCAGGCAUUUACUCUCUGUAUGCCCACCUACUUGGGUUUUCCUUCAUCCUUAAGAAACUCAGAUGAAAACAGAGCUUUGUUUUAAAAAAUACUUUUAUUUGUUUAUUUCAG
rnacentral:lncRNA from 10 species